UCCUCGGCAACAGCCUCCCUUGUGGCGUC
rnacentral:sRNA from 1 species